rnacentral:rRNA from 1 species
ACGAACGCUGGCGGCGUGCUUCACACAUGCAAGUCGAACGCUGAAGCUCAGCUUUUGUUGGGUGGAUGAGUGGCGAACGGGUGAGUAACACGUGAGUAACCUGCCUCCUUCUUUGGGAUAACGCCCGGAAACGGGUGCUAAUACUGGAUAUUCACUGGUCUUCGCAUGGGGGUUGGUGGAAAGGGUUUUUCUGGUGGGGGAUGGGCUCGCGGCCUAUCAGCUUGUUGGUGGGGUGAUGGCCUACCAAGGCUUUGACGGGUAGCCGGCCUGAGAGGGUGACCGGUCACAUUGGGACUGAGAUACGGCCCAGACUCCUACGGGAGGCAGCAGUGGGGAAUAUGGCACAAUGGGCGCAAGCCUGAUGCAGCGACGCCGCGUGAGGGAUGGAGGCCUUCGGGUUGUGAACCUCUUUCGCUCAUGGUCAAGCCGCAACAAUGGUUGUGGUGAGGGUAGUGGGUAAAGAAGCGCCGGCUAACUACGUG